GAAUUCGCCCUUAGAGUUUGAUCCUGGCUCAGGACGAACGCUGGCGGCGUGCUUAACACAUGCAAGUCGAACGAGAAUCUGUGGAACGAGGAUUCGUCCAAGGGAAACAGAGGACAGUGGCGGACGGGUGAGUAACGCGUGAGUAACCUGCCCUGGAGUGGGGGACAACAGUUGGAAACGACUGCUAAUACCGCAUAAGCCCACGAUCCGGCAUCGGAUUGAGGGAAAAGGAUUUAUUCGCUUCAGGAUGGACUCGCGUCCAAUUAGCUAGUUGGUGAGGUAACGGCCCACCAAGCCGACGAUCGGUAGCCGACCUGAGAGGGUGAUCGGCUACAUUGGGACUGAGACACGGCCCAAACUCCUACGGGAGGCAGCAGUGGGGAAUAUUGGGCAAUGGAGGAAACUCUGACCCAGCAACGCCGCGUGGAGGAAGAAGGUUUUCGGAUCGUAAACUCCUGUCCUUGGAGACGAGUAGAAGACGGUAUCCAAGGAGGAAGCCCCGGCUAACUACGUGCCAGCAGCCGCGGUAAUACGUAGGGGGCAAGCGUUGUCCGGAAUAAUUGGGCGUAAAGGGCGCGUAGGCGGCUCAGUAAGUCUGGAGUGAAAGUCCUGCUUUUAAGGUGGGAAUUGCUUUGGAUACUGUCGGGCUUGAGUGCAGGAGAGGUUAGUGGAAUUCCCAGUGUAGCGGUGAAAUGCGUAGAGAUUGGGAGGAACACCAGUGGCGAAGGCGACUAACUGGACUGUAACUGACGCUGAGGCGCGAAAGUGUGGGGAGCAAACAGGAUUAGAUACCCUGGUAGUCCACACUGUAAACGAUGAAUGCUAGGUGUAGGGGGUAUCGACCCCUUCUGUGCCGCAGUCAACACAAUAAGCAUUCCGCCUGGGGAGUACGGCCGCAAGGUUGAAACUCAAAGGAAUUGACGGGGGCCCGCACAAGCAGCGGAGCAUGUGGUUUAAUUCGACGCAACGCGAAGAACCUUACCAGGUCUUGACAUCCACUUAAACUUACAGAGAUGUAAGGUGUGCUUGCACAAAGUGAGACAGGUGGUGCAUGGUUGUCGUCAGCUCGUGUCGUGAGAUGUUGGGUUAAGUCCCGCAACGAGCGCAACCCUUAUCUUCAGUUACUAACGCGUGAGGGUGAGGACUCUGAAGAGACUGCCGGGGACAACUCGGAGGAAGGUGGGGACGACGUCAAAUCAUCAUGCCCCUUAUGACCUGGGCUACACACGUGCUACAAUGGCCACGACAGAGAGAAGCGAAAUCGCAAGGUAGAGCGGAACUCAAAAAAGUGGUCCCAGUUCGGAUUGUGGGCUGCAACCCGCCCACAUGAAGUCGGAGUUGCUAGUAAUCGCGGAUCAGCAUGCCGCGGUGAAUACGUUCCCGGGCCUUGCACACACCGCCCGUCA
rnacentral:rRNA from 1 species